rnacentral:sRNA from 1 species
GCUGGGCAUGGUGGCUCACACCUGUAAUCCCCACUACUCAGGAGGCUAAGGCAGGAGGAUCUCAAAUUCAAGGCCAGCCUCAGCAAUUUAGCAAGGCCUUAAGUAACUUAGAGAGACCUGGUCUCAA